GGCCGCGUGCUGCAGGGCGUGCGCGAUUCGGAAUCGCGCCUGAUGUUCAUCGGCUACAACCCGCUGUGGUUCAAGCUCUUCGUGUGGACGC
rnacentral:tRNA from 1 species